rnacentral:rRNA from 1 species
GAUGAACGCUAGCGGCAGGCUUAACACAUGCAAGUCGAGGGGCAGCGUGAUGAAGUAGCAAUACGGAUUUGACGGCGACCGGCGCACGGGGGCGUAACGCGUAUGCAACCUACCUCUAACAGGGGGGAUAACACUGAGAAAUUGGUACUAAUACCCCAUAAUAUUAUUAAAGGCAUCUUUGAUGAUUGAAAGUUCCGGCGGUUAGAGAUGGGCAUGCGUUGUAUUAGCUAGAUGGUGAGGUAACGGCUCACCAUGGCUACGAUACAUAGGGGGACUGAGAGGUUAACCCCCCACACUGGUACUGAGACACGGACCAG